rnacentral:rRNA from 1 species
AUACGUAGGUGACAAGCGUUAUCCGGAUUUACUGGGCGUAAAGGGCGUGUAGGCGGUCUUGCAAGUCAGAAGUGAAAUUCCUGAGCUCAACUCGGGCGCUGCUUCUGAAACUGCAGGACUUGAGUGCUGGAGGGGAUAGCGGAAUUCCUAGUGGAGCGGUAAAAUGCGCAGAUAUUAGGAGGAACAUCGGUGGCGAAGGCGGCUUUCUGGGCCUUUACUGGCGGUGAGGCACGAAAGCGUGGGGAGCAAACAGGAUUAGAUUCCCUGGUAGUCCACGCUGUAAACGAUGAUGACUAGGUGUGGGGGGACUGAACCCUUCCGUGCCGCAGUUAACACAAUAAGUCAUCCACCUGGGGAGUACGGCCGCAAGGUUGAAACUCAAAUGAAUUGACGGGG